UACGAAGGGGGCUAGCGUUGUUCGGAUUUACUGGGCGUCAAGCGCACGUAGGCGGAUUGUUAAGUCGGGGGUGAAAUCCUGGAGCUCAACUUCAGAAUUGCCUUCGAUACUGGCUUUCUAGAGGCUGGAAGAGGUUAGUGGAAUUCCCAGUGUAGAGGUGAAAUUCGUAGAUAUUGGGAAGAACACCAGUGGCGAAGGCGGCUAACUGGUCCAGAUCUGACGCUGAGGUGCGAAAGCGUGGGGAGCAAACAGG
rnacentral:rRNA from 1 species